GACGAACGCUGGCGGCGUGCCUAACACAUGCAAGUCAAGGACUGUAGCAAUACAGGACUGGCGCACGGGUGCGGAACACGUAGGUAAUCUGCCCUUUAGGGGAGAACAACCAGCCGAAAGGUUGGCUAAAUCUCCGUAACAUCACGAUGUGGCAUCACAUUGUAAUCAAGUUUUCUAAAGGAUGAGCCUGCGUCUGAUUAGCUAGUUGGUAGUGUAAUGGACACCAAGGCUUCGAUCAGUAGCUGGUCUGAGAGGAUGAUCAGCCACAUUGGGACUGAGACACGGCCCAGACUCCUACGGGAGGCAGCAGUGAGGAAUAUUGCACAAUGGACGAAAGUCUGAUGCAUCAACGCCGCGUGAGGGAUGAAGGUGCUUUGCAUUGUAAACCUCUGUAGUCGGAGACAAACGACGGGUUAUUACCCGUGUGAUGGUAUCCGAAAGUAAGGAUCGGCUAACUACGUGCCAGCCGCCGCCGU
rnacentral:rRNA from 1 species